AUUCCGGUUGAUCCUGCCGGAGGACAUUGCUAUUGGGAUUCGAUUUAGCCAUGCUAGUCGAACGAGUUCAGACUCGUGGCGAAUAGCUCAGUAACACGUGGCCAAGCUCCCCUUCAGUCAGCGAUACCCUCGGGAAACUGAGGUUAACAGCUGAUACAAAACGCCAGCUGGAAUGCGGCGUUUCAGAAAGACAUCGCUGAAGGAUGCGGCUGCGGCCGAUUAGGUAGACGGUGGGGUAACGGCCCACCGUGCCAGUAAUCGGUACGGGUGAUGAGAGUCAGAGCCCGGAGACGGAAUCUGAGACAAGAUUCCGGGCCCUACGGGGCGCAGCAGGCGCGAAACCUUUACACUGCACGGAAGUGCGAUAGGGGAAUCCCAAGUGCGAGGGCAUAUUAGCCCUCGCUUUUCUCGACUGUAAGGUGGUCGACGAAUAAGAGCUGGGCAAGACCGGUGCCAGCCGCCGCGGUAAUACCGGCAGCUCAAGUGAUGUCCCAUAUUAUUGGGCCUAAAGCGUCCGUAGCUU
rnacentral:rRNA from 1 species